AAAACGUGUCUACCGUAUGUCAUACUGAUAGGGCUGAAACACAAAUAAAUAUUUACAGAAAGUCAUUCAAAAUCUGUGUCCAAAAAGGUAGACCAAAAUCUUGACCCGAACACCCUGGCAGACCACCGUAAAGGGCAGUAAAUCCGUGUAGAUUGGAGAUCGGGCAUUACAGUUACGUUCGAUUACCAGAAUUUUAGUCAGUCAUAUUGGUACAUAGCAAGAUAUUUAUGGUUGCAGGUUAUUCCAGAACGCAGUUUCUCCAUUCAUCGGAGUGUCUUGGUUAAGUCAGGCUUGCGUGGCUUAGGUUCGGGAGAGAUUUGUGGAACAAACGAAAAAAAGAAAAAAAAAAAAACAAUAGCGGAAUAGUACACUGAUUGUGAAACAGACACAUGGUUACAUUAGUUAUUUGUUAAACGUAGAUUGAUUACAAAUUUAAAUUAUUUUUAGCAAUAAAAUCAGCCAGGACAAGGAUGACGUACAUAGGAUAUUUUAGAAAUAACAUUUGUAGAUUAAAGCCAAGAAUGAUGUUGUUUUUCCGAAAAAAGUGUGAGUUUAACUGUGCAUAGGUUAAAAUAGAGCCAUUCCCGAAAUAAGUGAUUAGGUGAUACAAUGGUAAUCACACCGGCACGUCAAUGGAGCACGUCAAUGGAGCCCAUUCUAACUAGGUACGAGAUCUACUCUCCGAACUGAGCCCGUGGUGGGGAUUCCGUUCGAACGAGAAUAAGGGGAAGCGGCACUACUAGGAGUGGCACUAUUACGGGAGCGGACUGUAGUCUCAUCAUAAUGGAUUAUUCAAUCAUCGCGGAAAAAAUUAAAAUGAUUUUGAUCUAUGGUGAAUCCGGAAGAAACAAUCAUAAAGCUAUUACAUUGUACGCUAACCGUUUUCAAAUUGAAAAAUUGAUGUCGUAUAAAAAAAAGUUUGGGACAAAAGUUAUUCAUAAUUUUUAUGUGUAAAAUGCAAAUCUGUAAAAAAAAGUACAUGUUCCCAUUUCAAAAAACAAUGUUGACCUUCAAAUGACCUUGUAAACCUCCACCAAAUCAACAGUACGAUGGCACAGUGUUUUGCCCCCACCGAACCAUGAAACCUUUAUUUCAAAAAUCUUUCUCUAAAAUGGCUGAUUCUCGAGUUAUUCUGCUGUGUCAACUUAAAUGGACCACCUUGUAUAAUGAAACCAAUCCUCUGGGAAUUCACCUAACCGUGAGUGAUAUCAGUGUCUAGUCUGGUCGUAGUUUCCGGACUCUAAAGUAAUACAGUUUUCAGCCGCGAAAGGGAUAGAGACCUUGCUAAAUGCAGAUGCUAUGUCUUUAUCAUCUGGGGAAUGAGUGGGGACUAUCUUGGGGAGGUGGAGUCUGCUUUUAAAGGCCUUGAUUGACCCUCAGACCUUAUCAAGGCUAUAGUCCAGUCAUUACGUCGGAAAAAUCGGGUUAGAAAUGAAAAUGAACCGAGAAAGCCAAAUUUUGGAUAUUACGUGGGGGGCGGCUAGAAAAGCUUAAGUUCAAAUUGUCGACCAAAAUAACUUUGUGCGUUUUCCGCCAUCUUG